rnacentral:rRNA from 1 species
GCUUACGGCCAUACCACCCUGAACGCGCCGAUCUCGUCUGAUCUCGGAAGCCAAGCAGGGUCGGGCCUGGUCAGUACUUGGACGGGAGACCGCCUGGGAAUACCAGGUGCUGUAAGCU